rnacentral:lncRNA from 8 species
AUGUCUUUGGGGGUGGUGGACCUCUUCUAUACUUCUUUCUGCAACCUGGAGAGGGAGGGUCUACUCAAACUAGAUGAAGAGACCCACAUCUAUGCCCUGCACUGGAACUUUCUUCCACAAAUCCAAAGGCACCUGCAGUUCUUCAAGGACGGCUGGAACCACCAUCGAUUGCACUCUGAGGGGAAUCAGUCACCACUGCAGCUAUGGACUCAGAAUCAACGUAAGGGAUAUCAUGACCCCCUCCAGGUUGACAUGGAAUACGGCCUUGACUGGGGACGUCCUUAUGGUCACCAUCAUGAAGGAGUCACAGUCCCUGAGGUUCAGCUUCCACGGCCAUUGACUGACAUGGAAGUGAUCACAUUGCCAGAUCCGCAAGUGCUAUCUGUGCUAUAAUAAUCUGGGGCGAGCACUGUAACAGUGUGGAAAGGCUUGCCGACACAGCCAGCUCUCCACAGACCCCCAGAACACAGAGGCAAUGGCCUCUGGAGCAAAUUGUUAUUUCAAUUUGAGCCAGACCACGGAACGAGGACAUCACAUCACAACGUGGGGAGCCAGGGACGGAACAUGACCGGGGGCCUCAAACAGGAUCAGGUGCUCCAAACCCUGUCAAGACCAACUAAAGCCAGUCACCUUGGUAGGGCACACUAAUACAUGUAAAUGGGCCUCUCCUUUUCACUCUCUGACUCUUUCACACUAGACAGUAUCAUUUUCUUCGUUAAAUGUUUGGAGUCUGAGAGAAGUUUAUUGUAAGGUGUUAGUGGCAGUGCAAGUGGAACGACCCCACAUCUGGCUUCUGUUACAAUACACUACGUCACGUUUAUUCAGUGUCAGGAUUCCCUAGGCUAAAGCCCUUAUCAUCGCCUUCAAACAUCGCCCUCUCAUCAGGAGAGUUCAGGGGUCAACCGGCUGCACUGCCCGUCUACUGUCAGAUUUCUAACACUGGGGAGGCCUUGAGACACAGCUCACAUAUUCAUUCCUCAGUGUGUGACAGGAAACACCGUCUCCUGGGUGCUGAAUUAACCCCUGUUGGUCUUAAAUAUACGCCUGGCUCCAAUUUGAUAGUGUAAAUAAAUCAAAUGACGUUAAUGCAACUUUAUACACAGUUCACUGUAAUGACCUCAUACACAGUUCACUGUAAUGACCUCAUACACAGUUCACUGUAAUGACCGCAUACACAGUUCACUGUAAUGACCGCAUACACAGUUCACUGUAAUUACCGCAUACACAGUUCCCUGUAAUUACCGCAUACACAGUUCACUGUAAUUACCUGCCGUCAAAUAUUCUCAAAGUCAAAUAACGUAUUCAAGAUAUACUGGAUCUUCCUGUAUUAAUGAACUGUGCCAAAGGCCUUGCAGCAUAUUUCAAUAUAAGAGAAGGCAGAGGGCUGAAAAGUAAGAGUAAUGUCUUAUCACUCUGUCCCACACUGUUUGAACAUUUAUACAGCGUUAGAGCUAAAAUGUCCAUGUCUUGCAGAGCAAGGCAGAGAAGACUUCCUAACUGCGGAGUGCACAGUCAUAAUUUGGUGUUUACUCAGAAGGGUUUGUCCUUCCUAAAACGUCAUGUUCAAUUCAACAGACAGGCUUUUUGAGGUAACUCGGUAAAUAAAACACAAACAUUACAAAUUCCAAUGUUUUUCUAAGGAAGUGAGACUUAAGGCAGAAAGACAAUGCCUGUUUGAAUUUAUAACAUUGCUUUGGCUUGGAUCUGGCCCCCUACCCAUGGACAUGCUACAUUUAAGUCUCUGGCUGGUUUUUAGCUUUUAGUCCAUCCAGAUUUCCCCUGGCCUGUGUUAACUCCUCAAAACAGUUUUGUAGCGUGACCUGUUCAGUUGAAUUAUACAAGCCCAGAGUGCACACAGGCAGUUGGGAUGCCCCUGUACACUAUUAAAAUGUUUCCCUAAUUUCAGCUUUUAGAAUCCUGCUCCUCUCAGACGCAGUUCACGGCAAUAAAGAAGAAACAUCAGGCGCUUUAUUGCAGAAAACGAGAGCACAAAGUGGAUCCAGCAAAGCCACAGGCAGGUAAAGGUCGAGUUAAGCUGGAGGAGCGAUGGGCCUGGUUUGUCAAGGGCACCUCUAACGUUGAUUGGCCAGUUGAGACACCUUCUCCUUCGGUGUGGUGGAAAACAUUGUCACGUCCUGACCAGUAAAGGGGUUAUUUUGUUAUUGUAGUUGAUCAGGACGUGGCAGGGGUGUGUUUGUUUUGUGUGUUUCGGGGUUUUUGGUUUAUGUUCUAUGUUUUCUAUUUCUAUGUGGGUUUUCUAGUUUGUCUAUUUCUAUGUUAGUUUUGGGAACGACCUCCAAUUAGAAGCAGCUGGUUGUCGUUGCUUCUAAUUGGAGGCCAUAUUUAAGUGGGUUUAUUUUCUCGGGUGUUUGUGGGUGGUUGUUUCUUUGUAUAGCUGUGUAGCCUUACAGGACUGUCGUUUGUGUUCACGGUUAAAAAAUAAAAGUAUAAGUAUGGACACUUACCACGCUGCGUAUUGGUCCGAUAUUUCUUACUCCUCAGAAGACGAAGAUUAUGACAAACAUUUUUCAGGGUAAAUGCAGUUAUAUUGAGAGGAUAUGUUGGAGAUGUCUAAAAAAAAAUGUAAACAUCUGAUGAAGCAUCAGUUUUUUUAUUUCAGUUUCUUUUACAGUUUUAGAGGGUAACUUGCCUUACAGUUCACCUUGUAGUGCAGCCAAGCAUACAAAAAGUGCAUGGUAAUUCUGAUAUACCACACAAUAUUCCCUAAUACAGUACGUUUCCCACAGUUGGAAAACCCCACCUGGCUUCAAAAGUAAAUUGUUUGCCAUCUAUAAAGAGGAGUUGUCAGUCACAAUUAGUAUUUGUUUCUUUGAGAGGGACCCAGAACACAUACCAACUCAAUAUAUUUGUCCUUAAUUCCAAUAUAGAAUAUUGAAAUCCAAUUUAAUUGAUCCAAUAUAGAAAUGAGGCAGUGCAUUAAUAUCACAAUUUCCUAGAAACUGCUUUAAAUUUUUUAAUUACGACCAGCAAUUAUUUUCCUCUGCUAGUUUGUGGCCAUCAAUUUGGAUUAGCCAAUUACUCUGAGCGUCUAAAGGCACAUUUCUCUUCUGCAGCUUGACUGCCUAGGCACUUCCUUGAGGAAACCUUUCAAGACAGGACUUUUAAAUAGGGAUAAUGGGAGUGGAUAUGGAGGGUAGGCCUUUGAACUGGCCCCUCAGCUUCAGGUUCCUCCUCCAGUAGGAUCUAGAAUGCAACUGCCUGCAAGGCCAUUGGGAAUUGAUGAGGUAGCGAGCACUACCUUUAAUCUAGCUCUAUCUUUAAUCUUUCAAAUUGUACAGACUUUUUGGGUAAACCAUUACUGUUAGAAUGUAAUCCACUUUAUUAAUGUGUCUGUAUCACUGUUUACUAAACUCUAUACCUAGUGUAAAGUAUAUCAAAUAACAAUAAACAGUAAAAAGCUCUAUAAAACUUUUCUUGCGCUGAUAUGAACAUUGUGUCUUCCUGCAAGGCUUUGAAUCAAAACGGACCAAACCCAGAGUAGGAUUAGGAGAUGCUUGAUAUGAACAUUGUGUCUUCCUGAAGGGCUUUGAAUCAAAACGGACCAAACCCAGAGUAGGAUGAGGAGAUGUUUGAUAUGAACAUUGUGUCUUCCUGAAGGGCUUUGAAUCAAAACGGACCAAACCCAGAGUAGGAUGAGGAGAUGCUUGAUAUGAACAUUGUGUCUUCCUGAAGGGCUUUGAAUCAAAACGGACCAAACCCAGAGUAGGAUGAGGAGAUGCUUACCAUCAUAUCUUUUUCAAAAUCCUCAUAAGUCACAGUAUUUUUCGACAGCUUCAGGGUAAAAAAAGCAUGUUGAUGACUGUGGAUGGUCAUAGUCAACAACUGCCACCUCCAGAGAUGAAGAAAGGACCUCCCAACCUGUCCAAAAUAUCGAACUCUUCAGGACCUCUGAUGAACUUACAAAAGACCCCCACACGUCAAUAUUCAAUAAAGAGCAGUAUGACUAUACAAAAACACA